ensembl:lncRNA
AGACCUAAUUUAAAAUGCCAAAUAGUAAUUUAUUUUAUUAAUUUUGGGAGAAUGUGACCUCUGCAUGGUUUUGGUGAGAUUUGGCUAAAAAGUUUUUUUUUUUUUUUUUUAUUAAUUAAUUAAUAAAAAAAAAAAUUAAAUGAAUGAAUGAUUGAUUGUGGAUCUCCAUGGUAGAAAUGUCAUUGACCUUUGCACUCAAAUCAGUAUAAACCAGUCUGGCUUUUGGAACAUAAGAGUAAAUCUUAAAUUCAAAACCCAGAUGACUAUAUGACUCGUUUAGAACAGACAUCAAUCAUUCAAGGGAAGGUUAUAUGGGUAGAUUUUGGUCAAGCACUAAAGCACUAAAAUAUUUGUGAGCAAAAUUUUUCUCUCUUAUUCUGAUAAUUGCUCCAGUGCAUGUGUUUGUGGAGCGUGUCAAAGGUUUCUAUUUUCAAAGUGUUUUUGCAGAUUGAGCAAUGUAGCCAAUCACAGACAUAUCUGUUUAUUUCUUAACAAUGUGGCCAAUCAAUCAGUCAAAAAAAAAAAAUUGUAAAAAAUAAUUUGAAUUAAACGAAGACUUGUUUUGUCAAGAGUUUUUGAACGAAUCUGAAUGAUUUAGAUAUCAAAUACAUUUUAACAGUCACUGGUCGCCACACCCACUGGAAUAAUGUAACAUAUACAAUCUGUUUUUGAAGCAUGACAUUAGUUCCAAAGGUCAAUUACUCAUUUCAAUCGCGUCUGCUGCAACAUCAGAGUCCAUAUCCGGACUAGAUCUCAAUACUUUCAUUAUUAUUUAAUGUUUGCUGAUCUACAUUGCCUUCAAAAAUACUACAAAACAAUGUGAUCUAAUGCAAUAUAGUGGAAACAUUUAAAUAUCUGGUUUGGUGUCUGCUUUGAUAUGCGAGGUCACGCAGUGACAGAGUAAGUGCUGGAGAUCUCACUCUUCAUCAUGAAUCACACACAAACACCCCGAGAUCAGGAUUUCUCUCCAGGAUGCAGUUCAGUUCAUCAGAAGAAAUCAGAAGCAGAGCCCAGCUGUGUGUCUCUGAGGAGUGAUGUUUCUUUGCCUCAUCCAAUUGACUUUAAGAGUGAUGACACAAGGUCAAUCCUGCAACACAGAUCAGUAACAAAACCUGUCUGUAAGAGAUAUGAUGAGUCUAUGAAUCAACCACAACACAACACGUAUUCUGGUGUGAGGUAAACAUUACUCAAAUACAUCAUUAAUAACUGACACAUUUCAUAAACCCUAUGAUAUGUUCAAAAUCCAAAAAAAAAAAAAAAAAAAAAAAAAA